UACGGGGGGGGCUAGCGUUGCUCGGAAUCACUGGGCGUAAAGGGUGCGUAGGCGGGUCUUUAAGUCAGGGGUGAAAUCCUGGAGCUCAACUCCAGAACUGCCUUUGAUACUGGAGAGCUUGAGUCCGGAAGAGGUGAGUGGAACUCCGAGUGUAGAGGUGAAAUUCGUAGAUAUUCGGAAGAACACCGGUGGCGAAGGCGGCCUGCUGGGCAGUUGCUGACACUGAGGCGCGACAGCGUGGGGAGCAAACAGG
rnacentral:rRNA from 1 species